AUUGGAUAUAGCUUUUUACCGUAGACAGUAGGUGCCGAAGUUGCUGCUUAAUAUCCUACCGAGGUAAGGAUACAUGCAUGGAUGUGGUGUGUUCCACGGAAUCCAUACGAGUAACGGAAGCCUUCGACUGUCUACGGAGGCUUUUUCUAUUUUUAA
rfam:Thermoactinomyces sp. Gus2-1 c45, whole genome shotgun sequence.